rnacentral:rRNA from 1 species
UUGAACGCUGGCGGCAUGCUUUACACAUGCAAGUCGAACGCGAAAGCGGGGGGCAACCCUGCAAGUAGAGUGGCGCACGGGUGAGUAGUGCAUCGGAACGUGUCCAGUCGUGGGGGACAACCAGUCGAAAGAUUGGCUAAUACCGCAUACGCUGGGGACAGGAAAGCAGGGGACCUUGGAGACGAGGCCUUGUGCGAUUGGGGCGGCCGAUGCCCGAUUAGCUAGUUGGUGGGGUAAGAGCCCACCAAGGCGUCGAUCGGUAGCUGGUCUGAGAGGAUGAUCAGCCACACUGGGACUGAGACACGGCCCAGACUCCUACGGGAGGCAGCAGUGGGGAAUUUUGGACAAUGGGGGCAACCCUGAUCCAGCCAUGCCGCGUGAGGGAAGAAGGCCUUCGGGUUGUAAACCUCUUUCGGUCCGGGACG